GAAUAUUUUAAUUUUUGCAGUAUAAUAUAAAUAUAUAUAUAAACAAAGAUGAAAUAAAAAAAUUGAGGGGUUAUCUUAACUUUAUCAUUUUAAGGAAGUCUGUGAUGAAGAAUUAGCGAGUCUUGAUGAAACUACAAAGAAUUUUCAAGAUCUAAGCAUUUCAGAUGGCAAAACUGUUACAGAUAUACAAGACUAUUUAUCAGAUAAAAAUACAAAGAUGCAAACUACUACGAAGGAUGAUGACGAGAGAAAAUAAAAGCAAGAAGAAAAAACAAUUCCUCAACAAAUCAUUUAUUAUCUAUUAAAAUUACUAAUAAUGUAUAUUAUAA